GAGUUAAAGUGUCUGCUGCUGAGCUGGAAGAGUUUACAAAGCAGGCAGAGUGUCUGAACCUACAACCACCUGCUAUCAUGGACUUAGAAAAGGGUUUGUGCCCAGAUCCAUCUCUUACCCCAGAAACAAAUUUCACUGAUGUAACCACACACACCAUAAGCUCUGAUGAGCUCAGCCUUCUAGAAGAACUUCUCAGUAGUGAAGAUGGAGUGAAGACCCUUUUCGAUAUGAUCCAAAGAAGUAUGGCUUCAGUCAAGCAAGACUGACGGCUAUGCCUGUGAAGAAUAUUGCCACUUAAAAUAAAGAUGCGUGACUGUUUUUUCCUCUGUGGCAAUUUGUUCUAUGUCAUCAGUGUAAUUUAGAUUUAGUUUCAUUGAACUGACAUAAAAAUGACAAUGUGAACCUGCUUUAAGAAGAAAAGAUUACUUAGUUUUGUCACUUUAAUGCACCAUGUACUAAAAACAAUCAACAAACCAUGAUAAAGUUUGUUCAUGUUGCUCCGGUUGGGCUCAGUCUGCUGAUGGUUGGACAAAGCAUUAUGGACACUGUAAAACUAUAAAGUCCAGCUCUUGUGACUACUAA